UUCUUAUUUGAUGAAAUUUUCAAAAUUGACCCAACUUAAUUGAAUUUUUUACAAAAAAAAACUGAUUCCCCCUAUUUUUAACCCCCCGUCGCAUCUAGGAAUGACCCAUUGCCGUUUUACCCAUUCUAUCCCAUUUUCCAAUAUUACUUCUCCUUCUAAAUCCAACAAAGUUGAGAUCCAGAUUUAAACAAUGUUGGUUUAAAUCACCUUCUCCUUUGCCUUCCAAUUCCUUCAACCACAAAUCACCAAAUUCACAAUCUUUCCAAGCCUCAAACCAGUGAAUCGCCUUAGGAAAUGUAGCUGGAUCACCUUCAAAAACUUUAUUAUAAAUCUCAGCAAAGUUGAGCUCCAUAUAACUUCCGCCAGGUUUUGGAAAGUUGAGCUCCAGAUUCUCUCUAUAUAGUGAAGAAUAAUGGAGAAGAAGUAAAGGAAAAUUUGACAGAAUGGGUAAAAGGAAAAUAGAUGAGGUUUAAAAGAAACAUGCUCAAACUAAUCCUAGUGGGAAUUCUCAAAGUAGAGCAAAAGGACGAGAUAGAAGAACAACCCGCCCCAUAAGAUGUGUUUUCGAGGGCGAGAAGCCAUACAGAUUGGUGUCCUUAAAGAAACAUAAAGUAUGUUAAGAAAUGAAAGGAUCAUUCGAAGAAAAGGAAAAAAAAACUAAGAGAGUUUGAGUCUUUGAGCAUUCGAAGAAAAAGACUUUUGGUGAAAUUAAUAACAAAAGGGAUAAAAUUAAUUUUAUUUUAACAACGAGCAAACUAUAAAUUAAAGUUAAGGGAUAUUUUUGACCCUUUUUUCUUUUCUUUUUUAAGGGUAGGAUGAAUUUGAAUAAAAAAAAAGACUUUGGAACUUCAGACGACAAAUACCUCUCACUAAAUGUACCAAGAAGAAUUCUAAUAUUUCACUUAAUUUUCGAACAUUAAAGUUCAACAUCCGAGAUAUUGAAUUAAUAUUUUAUGACUAAACGGGCAAAUAGUAAUUCGCAUUUCGAAUAGUUUUUGACUUAAAAAGGAUCAUUAACUUUGUAAAAAAACCCAUUAAAAUUUAAAAAGAAUCAAGUUUAUUUCUGGAGUAUAACUUGUUUUUGACAUUCAAAUCUUAAAGCAUUCUUUUUCCCGAGUAAAGGGAAUUCUCACUGUCUCAAGUAUAGCAAAUGGAACAAAGUAAUUGGAUAAACCGAACAUGUACACCAAUAGGCAUUCCACAUGGUUAAUUUACACAACAAUAACUUUGCUACAUUUGUGUCGGUGUGACUUUUCUAAUAAUAA